rnacentral:rRNA from 1 species
AGCGUACACGGUGGAUGCCCUGGCAGUCAGAGGCGAUGAAGGACGUGCUAAUCUGCGAAAAGCGCCGGCGAGGUGAUAUGAACCCUUGACCCGGCGAUGUCCGAAUGGGGAAACCCAGUGCAAUCCGUUGCACUAUCGUUAACUGAAUACAUAGGUUAACGAGGCGAACCGGGGGAACUGAAACAUCUAAGUACCCCGAGGAAAAGAAAUCAACCGAGAUUCCCCCAGUAGCGGCGAGCGAACGGGGAGCAGCCCGGAGUCUGAAUCAGCUUGUGUGUUAGUGGAACGGUCUGGAAAGUCCGACGGUACAGGGUGAUAGUCCCGUACACGAAAAUGCACAUGCUGUGAACUCGAAGAGUAGGGCGGGACACGUGGUAUCCUGUCUGAAUAUGGGGGGACCAUCCUCCAAGGCUAAAUACUCCUGACUGACCGAUAGUGAACCAGUACCGUGAGGGAAAGGCGAAAAGAACCCCGGCGAGGGGAGUGAAAAAGAACCUGAAACCGUGUACGUACAAGCAGUGGGAGCCUCUUUAUGGGGUGACUGCGUACCUUUUGUAUAAUGGGUCAGCGACUUAUAUUCUGUAGCAAGGUUAACCGUAUAGGGGAGCCGAAGGGAAACCGAGUCUUAACUGGGCGUUAAGUUGCAGGGUAUAGACCCGAAACCCGGUGAUCUAGCCAUGGGCAGGUUGAAGGUUGGGUAACACUAACUGGAGGACCGAACCGACUAAUGUUGAAAAAUUAGCGGAUGACCUGUGGCUGGGGGUGAAAGGCCAAUCAAACCGGGAGAUAGCUGGUUCUCCCCGAAAGCUAUUUAGGUAGCGCCUCGUGAACUCAUCUUCGGGGGUAGAGCACUGUUUCGGCUAGGGGGCCAUCCCGGCUUACCAACCCGAUGCAAACUACGAAUACCGAAGAAUGUUAUCACGGGAGACACACGGCGGGUGCUAACGUCCGUCGUGAAGAGGGAAACAACCCAGACCGCCAGCUAAGGUCCCAAAGUCAUGGUUAAGUGGGAAACGAUGUGGGAAGGCACAGACAGCCAGGAUGUUGGCUUAGAAGCAGCCAUCAUUUAAAGAAAGCGUAAUAGCUCACUGGUCGAGUCGGCCUGCGCGGAAGAUGUAACGGGGCUAAACCAUGCACCGAAGCUGCGGCAGCGACACUAUGUGUUGUUGGGUAGGGGAGCGUUCUGUAAGCCGUUGAAGGUGUGCUGUGAGGCAUGCUGGAGGUAUCAGAAGUGCGAAUGCUGACAUAAGUAACGAUAAAGCGGGUGAAAAGCCCGCUCGCCGGAAGACCAAGGGUUCCUGUCCAACGUUAAUCGGGGCAGGGUGAGUCGACCCCUAAGGCGAGGCCGAAAGGCGUAGUCGAUGGGAAACAGGUUAAUAUUCCUGUACUUGGUGUUACUGCGAAGGGGGGACGGAGAAGGCUAUGUCAGCCGGGCGACGGUUGUCCCGGUUUAAGCAUGUAGGCGGAGGUUCCAGGUAAAUCCGGUACCUUAUUAACGCUGAGGUGUGAUGACGAGGCACUACGGUGCUGAAGUGAUAAAUGCCCUGCUUCCAGGAAAAGCCUCUAAGCAUCAGGUAACACGAAAUCGUACCCCAAACCGACACAGGUGGUCAGGUAGAGAAUACCAAGGCGCUUGAGAGAACUCGGGUGAAGGAACUAGGCAAAAUGGUGCCGUAACUUCGGGAGAAGGCACGCUGAUAUGUAGGUGAAGCCCCUGCGGGCGGAGCUGAAAUCAGUCGAAGAUACCAGCUGGCUGCAACUGUUUAUUAAAAACACAGCACUGUGCAAACACGAAAGUGGACGUAUACGGUGUGACGCCUGCCCGGUGCCGGAAGGUUAAUUGAUGGGGUUAGCGGCAACGCGAAGCUCUUGAUCGAAGCCCCGGUAAACGGCGGCCGUAACUAUAACGGUCCUAAGGUAGCGAAAUUCCUUGUCGGGUAAGUUCCGACCUGCACGAAUGGCGUAAUGAUGGCCAGGCUGUCUCCACCCGAGACUCAGUGAAAUUGAACUCGCUGUGAAGAUGCAGUGUACCCGCGGCAAGACGGAAAGACCCCGUGAACCUUUACUAUAGCUUGACACUGAACACUGGUCCUUGAUGUGUAGGAUAGGUGGGAGGCUUUGAAGCGUGGACGCCAGUCUGCGUGGAGCCAACCUUGAAAUACCACCCUUUAAUGGCUGGUGUUCUAACGUGGACCCGUNNNNNNNNNNNCCGGGUUGCGGACAGUGUCUGGUGGGUAGUUUGACUGGGGCGGUCUCCUCCCAAAGAGUAACGGAGGAGCACGAAGGUUGGCUAAUCCUGGUCGGACAUCAGGAGGUUAGUGCAAUGGCAUAAGCCAGCUUGACUGCGAGCGUGACGGCGCGAGCAGGUGCGAAAGCAGGUCAUAGUGAUCCGGUGGUUCUGAAUGGAAGGGCCAUCGCUCAACGGAUAAAAGGUACUCCGGGGAUAACAGGCUGAUACCGCCCAAGAGUUCAUAUCGACGGCGGUGUUUGGCACCUCGAUGUCGGCUCAUCACAUCCUGGGGCUGAAGUAGGUCCCAAGGGUAUGGCUGUUCGCCAUUUAAAGUGGUACGCGAGCUGGGUUUAGAACGUCGUGAGACAGUUCGGUCCCUAUCUGCCGUGGGCGCUGGAGAAUUGAGGGGGGCUGCUCCUAGUACGAGAGGACCGGAGUGGACGCAUCACUGGUGUUCGGGUUGUCAUGCCAAUGGCACUGCCCGGUAGCUAAAUGCGGAAGAGAUAAGUGCUGAAAGCAUCUAAGCACGAAACUUGCCCCGAGAUGAGUUCU